GCAAUAUUUCAACAAUGCUUUCAAUAGCGUGUGUUGACUCGUUUCCUAUAAGAAGAGUGGCUUUCACCCUUGCUAUGAUUGUGCUCCUAAUACCCUUGACUUUUAUAAUAUUUUCAUAUGUUGUAAUAAUAAGGACCAUCAGUUCUUCCAGGAGCUCAGAAAACGGGCAGAAGACAUUUUACACCUGCUCUACACACUUGUUUAUCAUUGGCAUGUACUUCGUCCCUCGAUUAUUCAUUUUUACAGCU